AACGUAGGGGGCGAGCGUUAUCCGGAUUUACUGGGCGUAAAGCGCGUGUAGGCGGUGGGAUAAGUUGGACGUGAAAGCUCCCGGCUUAACUGGGAGAGGUCGUUCAAAACUAUCCGACUGGAGGUUGGAAGAGGAGAGUGGAAUUCCCGGUGUAGUGGUGGAAUGCGUAGAGAUCGGGAGGAACACCAGUGGCGAAAGCGGCUCUCUGGACCAAACCUGACGCUGAGAUGCGAAAGCGUGGGGAGCAAAC
rnacentral:rRNA from 1 species